rnacentral:sRNA from 1 species
UUGUACUACUUGCACAAGCCGGCUGCACUGCGCCGCCGGCACCAACUAACGACCGCUCGUGACGUUUUAUCAGCC